AAGACGGACGCCAUUGAAGUUCAGCGCGGGAUAUGAAAAGGGUCGGCACCGUGGACUAAAAAAGUAUCUCAAACUGCAGCCUGUUCUUUUGAAAGUUUCAUUGAAGAAUUUGUGCUAGUAGAUUCUUCUACUCCAAAUUCUUCACUUUUUAGUGGAGUGGUAUGGGGUGAUAUGGACUCUUCAAACAAGGCACAUCAAUCCACUGGUGCAGGAGGCGAGAACACCUGCCAUAGGAGAUGCAGCAGAGAAGGCCAAACGAAUGGUCCAGGAGGUUCUGGAAAAGAGUUCAGGGGGAGAGGAAAUAAUGGAGGAUUAUAGAAGAUCAAGCACCUUGAUUCACU